rnacentral:rRNA from 1 species
AAUCUUGCGCAAUGGGCGAAAGCCUGAUGGAGCAACGCCGCGUGAGUGAAGAAGGUUUUCGGAUCGUAAAACUCUGUUGUAAGGGAAGAACAAGUACAGUAGUAACUGGCUGUACCUUGACGGUACCUUAUUAGAAAGCCACGGCUAACUACGUGCCAGCAGCCGCGGUAAUACGUAGGUGGCAAGCGUUGUCCGGAAUUAUUGGGCGUAAAGCGCGCGCAGGCGGCCCUUUAAGUCUGAUGUGAAAGCACACGGCUCAACCGUGGAGGGUUAUUGGAAACUGGGGGACUUGAGUGCAGAAGAGGAAAGUGGAAUUCCAAGUGUAGCGGUGAAAUGCGUAGAGAUUAGGAGGAACACCAGUGGCGAAGGCGACUUUCUGGACUGUAACUGACGCUGAGACGCGAAAGCGUGGGGAGCAAACAGG